rnacentral:rRNA from 1 species
UACGUAGGGGGCAAGCGUUGUCCGGAUUUAUUGGGCGUAAAGAGCGUGUAGGCGGCCGUACAGGUCAGCUGUGAAAACUCGAGGCUCAACCUCGAGACGUCGGUUGAAACCGUACGGCUAGAGUCCGGAAGAGGAGAGUGGAAUUCCCGGUGUAGCGGUGAAAUGCGCAGAUAUCGGGAAGAACACCCGUGGCGAAGGCGGCUCUCUGGGACGGUACUGACGCUGAACGGCGAAAGCUAGGGGAGCAAACGGG